rnacentral:rRNA from 1 species
CCUACGGGGAGCAGCAGUGAGGAAUAUUGGUCAAUGGCCGGAAGGCUGAACCAGCCAUGCCGCGUGAAGGUCAGUGCCCUAUGGGCGUUAAACUUCUUUUGUGCGGGAGCAAUAAUGGUCACGUGUGGCCAGACGAGAGUACCGUACGAAUAAGCAUCGGCUAACUCCGUGCCAGCAGCCGCGGUAAUACGGAGGAUGCGAGCGUUAUCCGGAUUUAUUGGGUUUAAAGGGUGCGUAGGCGGGUCGUUAAGUCAGUGGUCAAAUUGAGGGGCUCAACCCCUUCCCGCCAUUGAAACUGGCGCUCUUGAGUGGAAGAGAAGUAUGCGGAAUGCGUGGUGUAGCGGUGAAAUGCAUAGAUAUCACGCAGAACCCCGAUUGCGAAGGCAGCAUACCGGCGCGCAACUGACGCUCAUGCACGAAAGCGUGGGUAUCGAACAGGAUUAGAUACCCCAGUAGUC